rnacentral:rRNA from 1 species
CCUACGGGAGGCAGCAGUGGGGAAUAUUGCACAAUGGGGGAAACCCUGAUGCAGCGACGCCGCGUGAGUGAAGAAGUAAUUCGUUACGUAAAGCUCUAUCAGCAGGGAAGAAACACUGACCUUACGGUCAGCAGACGGUACCUGAGUAAGGAGCCACGGCUAACUACGUGCCAGCAGCCGCGGUAAUCCGUAGGGGGCAAGCGUUAUCCGGAUUUACUGGGUGUAAGGGGAGCGUAGACGGUGCGCCAAGUCUGGAGUGAAAUGCCGCAGCUUAACUGCGGAACUGCUUUGGAUACUGGCGAACUAGAGUGCGGGAGGGGUAAGCGGAAUUCCUAGUGUAGCGGUGAAAUGCGUAGAUAUUAGGAGGAACACCGGUGGCGAAGGCGGCUUACUGGACCGUAACUGACGUUGAGGCUCGAAAGCGUGGGGAGCAAACAGGAUUAGAUACCCUUGUAGUC